rnacentral:rRNA from 1 species
AUGAACGCUGGCGGCGUGCCUAAUACAUGCAAGUCGAGCGAACGGACGAGAAGCUUGCUUCUCUGAUGUUAGCGGCGGACGGGUGAGUAACACGUGGAUAACCUACCUAUAAGACUGGGAUAACUUCGGGAAACCGGAGCUAAUACCGGAUGAUAUUUUGAACCGCAUGGUUCAAAAGUGAGAGACGGUCUUGCUGUCACUUAUAGAUGGAUCCGCGCUGCAUUAGCUAGUUGGUAAGGUAACGGCUUACCAAGGCAACGAUGCAUAGCCGACCUGAGAGGGUGAUCGGCCACACUGGAACUGAGACACGGUCCAGACUCCUACGGGAGGCAGCAGUAGGGAAUCUUCCGCAAUGGGCGAAAGCCUGACGGAGCAACGCCGCGUGAGUGAUGAAGGUCUUCGGAUCGUAAAACUCUGUUAUUAGGGAAGAACAUAUGUGUAAGUAACUGUGCACAUCUUGACGGUACCUAAUCAGAAAGCCACGGCUAACUACGUG